rnacentral:rRNA from 1 species
GACGAACGCUGGCGGCGUGCUUAACACAUGCCAGUCGAACGGAAAGGCGCUGCUUUUGUGGGGUGCUCGAGUGGCGAACGGGUGAGUAACACGUGAGUAACCUGCCCUUGACUUUGGGAUAACUUCAGGAAACUGGGGCUAAUACCGGAUAGGAGCUCCUGCUGCAUGGUGGGGGUUGGAAAGUUUCGGCGGUUGGGGAUGGACUCGCGGCUUAUCAGCUUGUUGGUGGGGUAGUGGCUUACCAAGGCUUUGACGGGUAGCCGGCCUGAGAGGGUGACCGGCCACAUUGGGACUGAGAUAAGGCCCAGACUCCUACGGGAGGCAGCAGUGGGGAGUAUUGCACAAUGGGCGGAGGCCUGAUGCAGCAACGCCGCGUGCGGGAUGACGGCCUUCGGGUUGUAAACCGCUUUCGCCUGUGACGAAGCGUGAGUGACGGUAAUGGGUAAAGAAGCACCGGCUAACUACGUG